AUCGAACGCUGGCGGCAGGCCUAACACAUGCAAGUCGAGCGGAGCGGCGGAUGGGGGAGUAAUGCCUAGGAAUCUGCCUGGUAGUGGGGGAUAAAGUCUGGAAACGGGAGCUAAUACCGCAGACUAUCAGAUGAGCCUAGGCCGGAUUAGCUAGAUGGUGGGGUAAAGGCCUACCAAGGCGACGAUCCGUAACUGGACUGAGUGGUUGAGCAGUCACACUGGAACUGAGACACGGGCACGACUCCUACGGGAGGCAGCAGUGGGGAAUAUUGCGCAAUGGGCGAAAGCCUGAUCCAGCCAUGCCGCGUGUGUGAAGAAGGUCUGCGGAUUGUAAAGCACUUUAAGUUGGGAAGCGUUACCAGCAGAAUAAGCACCGGCUAACUUCGUGCCAGCAGCCGCGGUAAUUC
rnacentral:rRNA from 1 species